rnacentral:lncRNA from 1 species
CCCGCCUCCCGCCCAGCACGCCCUGGCCCCGCCUCCCACGCUCCCACGCUGCGCGAGAGGUGGGGUCAGGGCGAGCAGCACGGGAAGCGGGGCCAGAGCGCGGGACCAGAGCCUCCUGCGGCGCAUGGCCACGCCUCCCGCAGCGCGGGGGGCGCAAUUUCCCUCCCCCGCUUAACAUGUAAAAUCAUCUCGGGCCGGCCCUGGUUAUUCAUCAAGGUUGAGCCUGGCUUGUAGUUGGGGAAGAAACCACCAGAAAAUCUCCAAUCUAGAGUUGGGAAAGAAUCCUAUUUGAAACCUUAGAACUGCUAUCAGUCAGACUUGUCAAUAUUAGGCUAGAAGUUCCUUAUUUUCAUAUGAAUGGUCAAGGAUUAAUUUAAAACUAAAAGAUUAGGUACUAGAGGUGAAAAAUACAGAGAGAGAAUGAGUCCUAUGUUCACGUUAUUGUAAAGGGCACAUCUGGCAACAUAUUGUUAUAUGGGGAAUUAUGGACAAAAUAUUGUCAAAAGUUAAGCCAAAGCUUUGGCCCUGUUCAUUAGGUUGACAUGUUAAAGAGGUAGAUUUAUGAAGAAAGCUAUGAAGACAACAAGCUUGUCUUCUCCUCAUAGGGCUCAGAGAACAAGCCCUAUGAGGAGCGGCUUAAAGAGCUGGGCAUGUUUAGCCUGCAGAAGAGAAGGCUGAGAGGAGACAUGAUAGCCAUGUACAAAUACGUGAAGGGAAGUCAUAGGGAGGAGGGAGCAAGCUUGUUUUCUGCUGCCCUGCAGACUAGGACACGGAACAAUGGCUUCAAACUACAGGAAAGGAGAUUCCACCUGAACAUCAGGAAGAACUUCCUCACUGUGAGAGCUGUUCGACAGUGGAACUCUCUCCCCGGGCCGUGGUGGAGGCUCCUUCUUUGGAGGCUUUUAAGCAGAGGCUGGAUGGCCAUCUGUCGGGGGUGCUUUGAAUGACAACACAACGCAAAAGCCUUGCCUCCCAGUUGUGAGAACACAACCACAACACAAAACCACAAUCCGGACCCACAAAACUCACAACAACGCAUCGUGACUAUAAC